AGAGUUUGAUCCUGGCUCAGAACGAACGCUGGCGGCGCGUUUUAAGCAUGCAAGUCGAGCGGCAAGGGGGGCUUCGGCCCCCCCUAGAGCGGCGGACGGGUGAGUAACACGUGGACAAUCUGCCCCCCGGUUCGGGAUAGCCCAGGGAAACCUGGAUCAAUACCGGAUGCGAGGGCGGCCGCAUAUGCGGCUGUUCGGAAAGGCGCUUCGGCGCCGCCGGGGGAUGAGUCCGCGUCCCAUUAGCUAGACGGCGGGGUAAGGGCCCACCGUGGCGAUGAUGGGUAGCCGGCCUGAGAGGGUGUACGGCCACAUUGGAACUGAGACACGGUCCAGACUCCUACGGGAGGCAGCAGCUAAGAAUCUUCCGCAAUGGGCGAAAGCCUGACGGAGCGACGCCGCGUGAACGAAGAAGGCCGUGAGGUUGUAAAGUUCUUUUCGGGAGGGGGAACGAGCCUGCCAGGCAAUGGGCGGGCGCUGACGUGAAUCCCGGAAUAAGCCCCGGCUAACUACGUGCCAGCAGCCGCGGUAACACGUAGGGGGCGAGCGUUGUUCGGAAUCAUUGGGCGUAAAGGGCGUGCAGGCGGCCGCCAAAGUCCGGCGUGAAAGACCCAGGCUCAACCUGGGGGGUGCGCCGGAUACUGGGCGGCUUGAGUACAGGAGGGGACGGCGGAAUUCCAGGUGUAGGGGUGAAAUCUGUAGAUAUCUGGAGGAACACCGAUGGCGAAGGCAGCCGUCUGGCCAUGUACUGACGCUGAGGCGCGAAGGUGCGGGGAGCAAACAGGUUUAGAUACCCUGGUAGUCCGCA
rnacentral:rRNA from 1 species